ensembl:lncRNA
CAGCCCUUACCUCCAUCAUCAACCCCACUGACAUAAAAAAUUUGACGGGAUCUAGGGAUUCUGCCGAACACCCAGACAUGGAUCCACCUGAUGUCCUGCAUUACCAACCACUCUCCAACUUUUCAUUACAUCAGCUACUGUUAUUGUCAUGUUGUCCAUAUCUGCUAAGACAAGCCCGUGUAUGAAUCAAAUGUUUUGGCAUAUGAAUGAAGUGGAAAUUAGAUGACUUUGUGAUCUGUAAGGUGUCCUGGAGUAGUUUGCCCCCCGGUGAUGCGUUGUGCAGACCGCACCACCCUCGGGAGAGUUGCAGUACCAGGCAGUGAUACAGCCCGACAGGAUGCUCUCAAAUGUGAACCUGUAAAAGUUAGUGAGGGUUUUUGGUGAC